UACGAAGGGGGCUAGCGUUGUUCGGAUUUACUGGGCGUAAAGCGCACGUAGGCGGAUCUUUAAGUCAGGGGUGAAAUGCCGCGGCUCAACCGCGGAACUGCCUUUGAUACUGGGGAUCUGGAGUCCGGGAGAGGUGAGCGGAACUGCGAGUGUAGAGGUGAAAUUCGUAGAUAUUCGCAAGAACACCAGUGGCGAAGGCGGCUCACUGGCCCGGUACUGACGCUGAGGUGCGAAAGCUAGGGGAGCAAACAGG
rnacentral:rRNA from 1 species